rnacentral:lncRNA from 1 species
GAAUUUAGCGACUCGGCGGCGAUAAAUAAACCCGACUCUGAACCACCGUUUCUCCAAUUUUGAAACCGGGAACUACGGUGAAACGGACUCGGGGCUCUGACCCGGAUCCAACGGCGGAAUCGUUCAUAUCCGCCGGUGAAAAUAAGGUCUCUUCGGUAACGCAUUGCAUGUAAACUUCAGAGAAUCUGCUGUUUUUUCUUACUUGGAAGAUGGUGACGUCGUUGUGCAGUGAAAAUGCUAAACAUCGUAGAAGCCAUACGCGCUUCGACAUCUCGGCGAAGGCGGCGAAGAAUGUAGUGUCGGGAACGCCGCCGGAGUUCAGGAUUUUCCGCUGGUUUAGAUUUCCGAAGAGAGAGCAUUCCAUUUUCGCGUGGACGAGUUGGAGGUAUUUGGAGCGGGUGAAUUUAGCGAAUAUGGAGUUGGGGUUUUGAGAAAUGAAGAUUUUAGGGUUUACUGGUUUGAGCUUCUUGAAUUUUUCGAACAUUUGGUGGUUUAGCUGCUUAUCAUGGGUAAGGGAAUCGUUGUGGAGUAUGAAAUUGGCGUCGGCUGUAAAACCCUCGAACAUGGUUUUGCAGACGAACGACUCGAAAGCGAAGCUCCUAUGGGUUGGCUCUGGGAACUUGGUGUCGGAAUCGACGAUGCAUUGGACAGCGGCGUUGAGGUCCCAGCUUGCUG